rnacentral:lncRNA from 1 species
CAUCUUUCAUAGUUUUCACAUAGUGUAUGUCUCUCUCUUUUCCAUUGUACAUGUACAUAUAUAUUUCAUUGUAGUGUUGUCUUGGAGGAGAAGAUGUGUGCUGAUAGAAGGUUACAUGUAUAUUACAGAGGGUGUUAUGCCAUCACUAAGAACCACAUUGUAUAGUAUAUGACAGUCACAGUAAUGUAAACUGGAUCUUGACUUGUUGUUGAAGAAUCCUUUGCUUUGCCGACUGCAUUAGGAAUGUAUGAUAGUUUUCCUAAAGAAGUUCAAAGUUCAGAUUGGAAUGAUCGCCCACCUGCACUGUGUUUUGUACCACAUUCAUUUACUUCAGUUAUGAUCAGCACAUUGUUUUUGCUCUAUUCUAUUGGUAAGCAUAUUGAUAAUGGUUUACCAAUGCUUUUAGGGACACUUUAUUCUUAAAAGAAGCUAAGUCUGAAUGUAAUGUUUUAAUUCACUUACAAAACAAGCUGUGCUCUAUUUAAGCAAUAAGGCCUGAGGGCCGUGGUAUAUUGGCCAUACACCACAAACCCCCGAGGUGCCUUAUUCUAUUAUAAACUGGUUACCAACGUAAUUAGAGCAGUAAAAUAUUUAUGUUUUGUCAUACCCGUGGUUUACGGUCUGAUAUACCACGGCUGUCAGCCAAUCAGCAUUCAGGGCUCGAACCACCCAGUUUUAAUUUCAAUUAUGCAACUGAUUGUAAUGACCACUGCAUUGAGAAAUUUGUGGGGCAUAGACCAAAAAAAUGUCCCAAUUUUACCAAGAGCCUCAAAUUGUGAGGUAGAUUUCAAUAUCCACCAGUAGAGGGCAGUGUUUGACAGCUUAGUGCACUGCACUGUAUCUAUACUAGGCUAAUGCAGUGAUGCUGAUCAGCCAAUCAGAGAUGUUCAUGCAGUGAUCCUGGGGAACAGUGCAAUACACUCCAUAUCCAAAACACAGAAAGAGAUGGUAAAAAUGUAGGUUUUAAUGUAAGCUUUCUACUUACACUGUGGCUCCAAUUGUUUUAGUUAUUUAUCACCGUACUUGCCUCUCACCACUUGCCAAACCGCCAUUGUAAAUAAACAUGUCUUCGUAACUGACUUACCUAAUAUAAACUCAUUUUAAGUAAGGUCAUGUAAAUAAAUCUCAUCAGGAAGUGAAUUAUGUUUAAUCUGAAUGGAGAUCCAUCCCCAAGUAUGUGUUGAUAAUUCUGUCAUGCUUUUAAUUUGAUCAUCUCAGAGCAUGAUUUGGAUAUAUGUACAUAAGGUUCUAGAUGUGUGUUCCAUUUGUAAAUUAUUACAUUUUUUCAGCUUUCACCGCCAUGCCUAUAGCUGCUUACCGUAGUAUGGCUAUGGGAUAUUGUAAGACGUUCCCUCAAUGAAGGAACAGCACCACAAGGCAAAUUAGCUUUGAGAUGUUGCUUUGAACUCUGCCUGUGAACAUAUGGAUGGCUCAAAAUAAAAGCAGGAAUAUGAUUGAUUAAUGGCAAUUAUAACUGCAUGGUGUAUAAUUCAUUUUAAAUGUUUAAAUCGAAGCGAAUAAAUAAAGAUAUUUAACAAA